CUCCAACUACUACUGCUCCUAUAACCCCUGACCCUCCAACUACUACUGCUCCUAUAACCCCUGACCCUCCAACUACUACUGCUCCUAUAACCCCUGACCCUCCAACUACUACUGCUCCUAUAACCUCUGACCCUCCAACUACUACUGCUCCUAUAACCCCUGACCCUCCAACUACUACUGCCCCUAUAACCCCUGACCCUCCAACUACUACUGCUCCUAUAACCCCUGACCCUCCAACUACUACUGCUCCUAUAACCUCUGACCCUCCAACUACUACUGCUCCUAUAACCCCUGACCCUCCAACUACUACUGCUCCUAUAACCCCUGACCCUCCAACUACUACUGCUCCUAUAACCUCUGACCCUCCAACUACUACUGCUCCUAUAACCCCUGACCCUCCAACCACUACUGCUCCUAUAACCCCUGACCCUCCAACUACUACUGCUCCUAUAACCCCUGACCCUCCAACCACUACUGCCCCUAUAACCCCUGACACUCCAACUACUACUGCUCCUAUAACCCCUGACCCUCCAACCACUACUGCCCCUAUAACCCCUGACACUCCAACUACUACUGCUCCUAUAACCCCUGACCCUCCAACCACUACUGCCCCUAUAACCCCUGACACUCCAACUAGUGCCCCUCCAACUAAUGACAUUCCAACUACUGACACUCCAACUACCGACAGUCCAACUACCGACACGCCAACUACUGAUAAUCUAACUACUAACAGUUCAACUACCGACACGCCAAAUACUGAUAAUCUAACUACUGACACUCCAACUACCGACACUCCAACUACUGAAUACUCUGCAGCUACUACUGGUCAUCCAACUACUGGUUACCUAACUACUACUGAUCCUCCAGCUACUGGUUACAUAAAUACUACUGGUCUUCCAACUACUGGUUACCCUACCUCUAUCCCUAUCACCAGUAUCAGUCUCCCCACCAUCUCUACCAACACCACCAACACCUUUUCCACAACCUUUACCAACACCUAUCCUACCAUCUCUAACACCACCACCACCUCUCCUACCACCUCUCCCACCACGUCUAACACCACCUCCACCACCACCUCUCCCACCAUGUCUAACACCACCUCUCCCACCACGUCUAACACCACUUCCACCACCAACUCCACCACCAUGUCUAACACCACCUCUACCACUACCGUCUCCACCACCACCUCUACCACCACAAUCCCUCAUCUGGACUGUUUCAACGGUGGUGAGCUGCAGAGUGGAGUCUGUAUCUGUCCUGAUGAGUGGACUGGAGAGACCUGUUCAGAGGGGUAUUUCUGCAAUUCCACCAUCAUUGGUGAUUUCUCCUACCCAAGAACAACGGUUGGCUGGUCUGCUUAUUCAGAAGAGUUGUGUGAUGAGAAUACAACCAGUGCUGGUUUACCAAAAGCCUCAGCAAGAUGUUUGAAUGACACUGGCUCUCUGAUGUUUGGUCCUCCUCAUGAACUGCAGUGUGAAUUAACCCUCAGUGACAUUCAAGGAAAUAUCUCCAGCAGUUCAGGUGAUUUACUACAGUUGGCCUUCAGUACUCAGAUCCUGACCUCUCAACCAGAGCGGCUGUCAGCUGACAACAUCACCACAGCAGCUCAGAUCGCUAACACACUGCUUCUGUCUGCAAAUAUCACAGAGGACAUCGCAGUGGCAGCUGUAACUACCAUCAGUCAGCUGCUCAAUGCCAGUGAGGAGAGUACACAGGAGAGAGACGCUGUCCAAAACCUCACAGAGACCCUGGAGAUGUUUUCCCUGGACCAGCACAAUAAUGUGUCCUUGGUGGUUCAGCCCAACCUGGCAGUCCAGUCUGUCCAAGUACCAAGUGACUCAGUAGGGAUCCAGUUUACUGCUCUGACUGGAAGAUCUGGUAAUUUUGUGGCCAACAGAAUUCAUCUCAACACCAAUACCUCUGAACUGAUAGCUGACAAAGGAGGUUCUACCGAUGUCCAGAUUGUCAUGAAAUUCCCACCAGUUUUACGUAGUAAAAACACAAACUACUCCAUUGGUUUUGUGCUCUACCAAAACGACCGGUUCUUCAGGUCCAGGGCUUUCAGAGCUUCUUCAGGAACCAGAAGAAGGGUCAUCUCUGCUAACCUGGGACAAGUGUCUGGGUUACAUGUUGAGAUGCUCUUCAAGCCCACAGCUGUUCCCAACACCUCCCUCUAUGACUUUGCCUGUGUGUCAUGGAACUACACGUUGAAAGACUGGAGCACCUUUGGCUGCUCCAAAGUCAACCACUCAGAAGACGGCCUGCGAUGUUUCUGUAAUCACACCACUAACUUUGCUGUGCUGAUGUCGUUCAGGAGGGAUUUUAAAUACGCUGAAGCGCUAAACUGGAUCACCAUAUUGGGAUGCUCCAUGUCCAUCAUAGGGUUGAGUUUAACAAUAACAUUCCAGAUCGCAACCAGGAAAACACGCAAAACCAACCCAACGGUUCUCUUAGUGAGCAUCUGCAUGUGUCUUCUGAUCUUCACCCUGCUCUUCAUGUUGGGAGUGGACAACCCCCAUAAACAGCUGGACAAACCUGAAAUACAUAAGGACAACAUUCUCCCCCCGUCCGACAAACACACAGAGCGGGACAGGGGGCCUUGUACUGCAGUGGCAGUCCUGCUGCAGUACUUCCUGUUGGGGACGUUCACCUGGAACACGCUGUUCGCCACACACGUCUUCCUGAUGAUCAGAAACAGCCUGGCCACCAGCCCGUCACACUUCACAGCCUAUACCGUGGCCAUUGGAUGGGGACUGCCUGCAGUUGUGGUGGCCCUCACCUUAGGAAUUAGUUACAGAGUGGAUGAUCCACUGGGAUACAGGCAGGAGGAAUUUUGCUGGCUUGCUGCCCUCGAUCCAAAGGGGAACUUUGACUUCAAGCUGCCAAUGUUUUGGGGGUUCCUGGUCCCUGUGGCAUUCAUGCUUAUGUUCAACACAGUGGUGUUGAUAUGUUUUGCAGUUACAACAACCAAGACCAACCCACAUUUAACCAGUACAAGACACACAUCGAUGAAGAAGAAGUUCCUCAGUAGCUUCUCUCUGGCUGUGGUGCUCGGUCUCUCCUGGAUCCUGGGCUAUCUGUUGCUCAUUCCACAGAACCAGACCAUGUACACCAUACUCAACAUCUCCUUCUGUGUUCUCACCACCACUCAGGGCUUGCAGAUUUUCAUUCUGUUCACAGCAAGAACAUCAAUUGUCAAGAAAAUGAUGGCAGAUGCUUUGAAAUCUGCCUCUAGUGUUGAGAUCCAACUUCACACCAAGAGGUUCAGUCUAUGGCGAGACGAGCGCAGAGAAAAGGUAGAAUCAUACACACAGCUGGACACUGAUCUGUCAACACAUUAACCCUUUAAUUGCCACAUAAUUUUUCUGAAAAAUAUGUGUAUUUAUCCUUAAUAUAGGCCAUAAAUCAUUUGUUUUUGAUUGCUAACAUCUCAACCAGCCUGUUCAGUUGCCCAAUUAUGUUAAACUAGUUAUGUAUUGGAUUUUACAUAUGCUUUUUAAAUCAUCUGAAAAAUGGUACAUUAAUUAACGUCAUGUCUGCUUCAGUUACUUAUAAUGGAAGACAGGCCAAGAUAAAUGAUGACUGAUAUCAAAUAUGAAUACAAUAUGAUAUAUGUGUCAAUAUGAGUAUUCAAAUAUAUAUAUACAUUCAUAUUUACUGUUUAUAUGUUCAUAAUACCUGUAAAAUUACAUGUCCUGAAAACAUUUGUGAAACAAAUUGAACAGGCAGAUUGUAAAUACUGAUAUGAAUAUGAAAAUAUAUUUAUAUUUGCACAGACAAAAAAAUCCCACAACAAUAUUUCUCCAUAAUAGCUAGCGUUGUCUAAAUAGCAUUCCUUUAAUGGGCAACUCAACCUCCUGGUAGAGCAUAUUUUUCAAGAGUUCCUCUAAUAAAUAACAUCAAAUAUUAGUAAUUUUAUGAUACUAAAAAUGAUAUUUUUGAGUUCAACAACAUUGUACAGUCAUGUAAUAUGUAAAGGAGUGUGUAACUGGCUGCAGGGAAGUCAGGCGCAGGAGAGCAGAUGGUUAGCAAACGGAGCCCUUUAUUGAGGCAAACAAAACACGGGACUCAGAAAACUAUACACACACGGUUUACAAUAACCCGGCGCAAACCAGCCUGGAGUACACAUAAAUGUACAUAUAACAACUCCACACACAGACAUGGGGGGAAACAGAGGGUUAUAUGCAAUAUGAGUGAUGAGGGAAUGCAAACCAGGUGUGCGGGAAAACAAGACAAAACAAAUGGAAAAUGAAAGGUGGAUCGGCGAUGGCUAGAAGACCAGUGACGUCGACCGCCGAACGCCGCCCGAACAAGGAGAGGGACCGACCUCGGCGGAAGUCGUGACAAUAUAUACCAUUUUAUACACAAUUAGUACUGGAAAUGUGUGAUUAAUCAGGUUCAGUUUUGCUCACGUUCAUGUCUUUUAACCAUCUUUGAAUGUUUGUGUAAAAAUAUAGAGGAGUCCAAUAAUGAAAACCACAUGAUCAUUUUACUAAAUGGCAUGACAAAAUAUGGUAAACAAAAGUUAUAUUUAUUUGAAUUUACAGUUGGUUGUCAGCCACUCAGUUGAGCGGCCGCUUAAAGGGUUCAUUUCCAACUUGUUACUCACAGAUUGAUUGGCAGCAAGUUCAACCUUUGUCAAUGUCUCAUAGACUUCCAUUAUUGCCUAUAGUAAUACACACACCAUUUAUAUAUAUCAAAAGUGUUAUUGCCCAAUAAUGUUUUGGCUAUGUCCAUGUUGGUAAAUUGACAUUGUUGGGUUGGUAAACCAAGACAGGCUGAGUCUGGGAUGCACAACCAGGUCAAGCUGGAAGAAAGCAGAUCCAAAGGAGUGAUGUGGUGCAGAGGGAGAUAUGAAAUACUGAGGAAGAAAACAGGAAGGUAUGAAACACUGAGGAAGAAAACAGGGAGGUAUGAAACACUGAAGAAGAAAGCAAGCGUGUCAGAGGGAGGUAUGAAUGGCUGAGGAAGAAAGCAGGGAGGUAUGAAACACUGAGGAAGAAAGCAAGCGUGUCAGAGGGAGAUAUGAAUGGCUGAGGAAGAAAGCAGGGAGGUAUGAAACACUGAAGAAAGCAAGCGUGUCAGAGGGAGGUAUGAAACACUGAGGAGGAAAGCAAGCGUGUCGGAGGGAGGUAUGAAACACUGAGGAGGAAAGCAAGCGUGUCAGAGGGAGGUAUGAAACACUGAGGAGGAAAGCAAGCUUGUCAGAGGGAGGUAUGAAAGGCUGAGGAAGAAAGCAGGCAUGUCAGAGGGAGGUAUGAAAGGCUGAGGAAGAAAGCAGGCAUGUCAGAGGGAGGUAUGAAAGGCUGAGGAAGAAAGCAGGCAUGUCAGAGGGAGGUAUGAAAGGCUGAGGAAGAAAGCAGGCAUGUCAGAGGGAUGUAUGAAAGGCUGAGGAAGAAAGCAGGCAUGUCAAGGUUAUAGCCAUAAAAAAAACACAGCAGCUGAACAUGCUGGGGGAGCGUGAGAGAGUGGUCACUCACCUGGAACAUGGAAGGGCAGCAGAUUAAGUUUCUGCUUUGCUCUGUGUACAAUGUUUUUCCCACACCAACAAACCUUCACACGUGGGGGUUGGCAGACAGCCCAGACAGCUGCACGAUAUGUGGACAACCAGCCGAUCUGAAGCAUAUGCAGGUGGCGGCAUGACCAAAUACUGACAACUGGCCACGGGACUGAAGCAAGCAAGGAGAAAGCUGAAACAUCUGACCCAGGUCUCCUCGUCGUGUUUGGAGGACAAAGAAUGCUGAGUUGCAUCCAAAGAACACCAUACCUACUGUGAAGCAUGGGGGUGGAAAAAUCAUGCUUUGGGGCUGUUUUUCUGCAAAGGGACCAGGACGUCUGAUCCGUGUAAAGGAAAGAAUGAAUGGGGCCAUGUAUCGUGAGAUUUUGAGUGAAAACCUUCCAUCAGCAAGGGCAUUGAAGAUGAAACGUGGCUGGCAUGACAAUGAUCCCAAACACACCGCCCGGGCAAUGAAGGAGUGGCUUCGUAAGAAGCAUUUCACGGUCCUGGAGUGGCCGAGCCAGUCUCCAGAUCUCAAUCCCAUAGACAAUCUUUGGAGGGAGUUGAAAGUCUGUGUUGCCCAGCAACAGCCCCAAAACAUCACUGCUCUAGAGGAGAUCUGCAUGGAGGAAUGGGCCAAAAUACCAGCAACAGUGUGUGAAAACCUUGUGAAGACUUACAGAAAAUGUUUGACCUCUGUCAUUGCCAACAAAGGGUAUAUAAAAAAGUAUUGAGAUAAACUUUUGCUAUUGACCAAAUACAUAUUUUCCACCAUAAUUUGCAAAUAAAUUAAUUAAAAAUCCUACAACGUGAUUUUCUGGAUUUUUUUUUUCAUUUUGUCUGUCAUAGUUGAAGUGUACCUAUGAUGAAAAUUACAUUCUCUCAUCUUUUUAAGUGGGAGACCUUGCAUAAUUGGUGGCUGACUAAAUACUUUUAUGCCCCACUGUACAUUUGAACGGGGUAUGGUUAUAGGUGCCAGGCGAGAACUGCAAUGCUGCUGGGUUUUCAUGCUCAACGGUUUCCUGUGGGUAAAGAAUGGUUCACCACACAGCAUUGGAGUCAACAUGGGCCAGCAUCCCUUUCGACACCUUGUAGAGUCCAUGCCCUGACGAGUUGAGGCUGUUCUGAGGGCAGAAGUGUGUGGAGGUGCAACUCAACAUCAGGAAGGUGUUCCUACUGUUUGGUAAACUCAGUGUAUGAUGCUGUUGUUAAGAGUCUUCUGUGAUUGAGAAUUAUGUUGGAAAAUUGCUUUCAAUGAAGAUGUGCAAAAAUGUAUGAUGCAUUUAACUUAUCAAAUGAUUAUUACCAAUAUAUGACCUUACUUUUUUAGUUUGGUUUAUAGUCAAUGAUUGACUGAUGUUUUCUAUUUUUGCUGCGAGGGAUAAAAUAGCAUCAAUGAA